CGUCCUCUCAGACCAGCUACGGAUCGUCGCCUUGGUGAGCCUUUACCUCACCAACUAGCUAAUCCGCCAUCGGCCGCCCCUAUAGCGCGAGGUCCGAAGAUCCCCCGCUUUCAUCCGUAGAUCGUAUGCGGUAUUAAUCCGGCUUUCGCCGGGCUAUCCCCCACUACAGGACACGUUCCGAUGUAUUACUCACCCGUUCGCCACUCGCCACCAGGUGCAAGCACCCGUGCUGCCGUUCGACUUGCAUGUGUAAGGCAUGCCGCC
rnacentral:rRNA from 1 species